UCGGCCCCCUCUCCUCCCCUCCCCCUCUGAAUAUUCAUCGCUUCCUCCCGCUCGGGCGGGCCGGCCGCUGCCGUGCUCCGCGGCCCCUCGCCGCCCUCUCGCCGCGGCCCCCGCCCCCAGCGAGCUGGCGGCGGGCGGGGAGUGGGCGGUGGCGAGCCCGGUGCACGCUCUGGCGUCUCCCCUCCCGCGGCCAGAGGAAGCGCCCCCUCCCUGCCCUCCUAGCCCUCCCACAUUCCUGGGACUCGGGACCCGGGACGCUGCUCCACUGUUCCAGAGCUACGAGCUAGUAUAGAUGGAUCAGUAGGGACUCUUCAGCCUGGGACUCCCUCCCUGGCUCCGGCUUGAGGCUACCUCUUGCCCAGACGCUGGGCCAGGAAGUCAGAGAGCCGGCACAGAAGCUGGUCUAGUGAUUAGAGCCCCAGCUGUGGCAUAUGGCAAGCCCAGCUGUGCUAUAUACUAACUGUGUGAUCCUGGUUGUGUGACUUGGAGAGAGAUGCUUCGCCUCUUGGACCACCCUUUGCUCUUGUGUAACGGGAAGAUACUACUGAUACCUGUCUACCGAGACUUGCCUGGAGAUUAGAGAUCAGGAUAAAGUCCCAAAGAGGGUGGGACACAGAGUGAGCCCAUCUGGCAGCUGUCAUCACAAGUCCUGAUCUGAAAGGAGUUGCAGAUUACCACGAAUAUUGCUACUGUGCUCAGGCUCACAAGAGGAAACCAAAGAGCUCUAUCGACUGCACCAAGAAGUAAUGAGAGACAGUACCAAACCAAGGCAAGCUAGGGAGGGCAAGAUAGGGAGGGCUCCGACCAGGGGAAGAGGUGUCACCUGAGCUGGGCUUUGAAGUGUGGUUGGGUUUCACCGGGCAGAGAGAGGGAAGCAGUGUGGUAGGAAGUGGGAGCAACUUGGCAAAAAAAAAAA
rnacentral:sRNA from 1 species